rnacentral:rRNA from 1 species
AUUGAACGCUGGCGGCGUGCUUAACACAUGCAAGUCGAUCGGUAACGCGGGGGCAACCCUGGCGACGAGAGGCGGACGGGUGAGGAACGCUUGGGAAUCUGCCCUUCAGCGGGGGACAACCCGGGGAAACCCGGGCUAAUACCGCAUACGCUCCACGGAGGAAAGCCGGGGACCGCAAGGCCUGGCACUGAAGGAUGAGCCCAAGUCGGAUUAGCUAGUUGGCGGGGUAACGGCCCACCAAGGCGACGAGCCGUAGCUGGUCUGAGAGGACGAUCAGCCACACCGGAACUGAGACACGGUCCGGACUCCUACGGGAGGCAGCAGUGGGGAAUAUUGGACAAUGGGGGAAACCCUGAUCCAGCGACGCCGCGUGGGUGAAGAAGGCCUGCGGGUUGUAAAGCCCUUUCGGUAGGGACGAAAGCUCUUGCCCUAACACGGCAGGAGGUUGACUUAACCUACAUAAGAAGCACCGGCUAACUCUGUGCCAGCCGCCGCGGUAAGAC